GACGAACGCUGGCGGCGUGCUUAACACAUGCAAGUCGAACGGAGAGGCCCUGCUUUUGUGGGGUGCUCGAGUGGCGAACGGGUGAGUAACACGUGAGUAACCUGCCCUUGACUUUGGGAUAACUUCAGGAAACUGGGGCUAAUACCGGAUAGGAGCUCCUGCUGCAUGGUGGGGGUUGGAAAGUUUCGGCGGUUGGGGAUGGACUCGCGGCUUAUCAGCUUGUUGGUGGGGUAGUGGCUUACCAAGGCUUUGACGGGUAGCCGGCCUGAGAGGGUGACCGGCCACAUUGGGACUGAGAUACGGCCCAGACUCCUCCGGGAGGCAGCAGUGGGGAAUAUUGCACAAUGGGCGGAAGCCUGAUGCAGCAACGCCGCGUGCGGGAUGACGGCCUUCGGGUUGUAAACCGCUUUCGCCUGUGACGAAGCGUGAGUGACGGUAAUGGGUAAAGAAGCACCGGCUAACUACGUG
rnacentral:rRNA from 1 species